GCUCGCUCGCCGCUUUCCCAAUCCUCCCCGUCGCUGCUCUCCCAAUCCCUCUUCCCUCUGUCGCCGGCCUCUCCCUCUCCUCGUCGCCGCCCCCUUCCUCUCCUCGACGCCGGCCUCUCCCUCUCCCCGUCGCCGGCUUGUUCCAUCACCCCUUUCUCCCCACCACCCCGCCUCCACUCAUACCCCGAAGGGCAACAAAAAAGUGAAUCUUUUUGUGCCGGCGACAAGCUUCUAGGCGACGGACGUGUGGAUGUGUAGCGGCGCCAGAGCGGGAUUUGGGCAACGGAGGCGUGGACGUGGAGCCGCGGCCGAGCGGCGGAUCUGGAGAGGCGCCGGAGCAGCGGAGCGGCAGGCCUGGAGCGGGGCCAGAGCAGCGGUGGGAGAUGGAGUUCCCUCUCGACCCAGUCGACAGGUACGGAUGCGGUGGAGGACCAGCUAGCUGGCGGCGGCGAUGGGACGAGCAGCUGGAGCAGUUGUUCGCGGGAUGAGCAGCUGGAGCCGGUGGCGGGGCAAGCAGCUGGAGUAGGAGGGCGACACCGAGCUCAACGGCGACUCCUACGACAACUGCAGCAGGAGAGCGCCUACAACCGUUGUGGCAGGAGUACCUCGGUGGAGUGAAGUUGAGGUCUGGGAGAUCCAUUUUCUCCUGAAGAUAUGAAUAUGUAAGAUGAAGUAGAAGUACAAGUAGAAGCACAAGAUAUCUCAAAGGAGCUUUAGAUGAACAUCUUUCACAAUUUGUCUUAGGAAGACACUGGGUGGUGGAAUGAGGCAGGUAGGAGUCCUUUGUGCUGCUGCUGAAGUCGGUGUUCGCUACACCUUAGGCAAGCUUGCCGAUGACCAUCGGAAGGCCAAAGUUUUAGCAGAUGGACUGAAGAAAAUCCAACAGUUCACAGUUGAUUUGACUUCAGUGGAGACCAAUAUGGUAUUAAUUUUUGAGGAUAGGCAUCUAUGAUUCUAACAAAAGUCCCUGUAUGUAUACUUGUAUCUCAGUUCAAAAAGUUAGUCAGUUGGCCCCUUACUUGAGUAGAUAUAUAUUGGAGAGUUUUGAAAGUAGUUAAUUUUCAUUGCACUAUUUCUUCUUCUUCUUCUGUUUAUCGGUGCUACUGUUUUGCUCUAUAUUAACUGUAAUCAGUUUAUGUUCAGUUUUAAAAAAUUGUCAAGAAGCGUCAACUAUGUUCAAUUUCUUCGGAGCAUAAGAUCACCUUAUUGCAAGAAAGCUGCUCUGUUUUGUUUAGAAGAAGAGUAGAAUUGCACAAGUUACAUCCUGAAGAAUUGCACAAGUUACAUCCUGAAGCAUAAUGGUAGAAUUUACACAAGUUUGUCAUGCUCCUUCGGCGGAAACUAACACACUGCUUUUGUGACGCAACAGUAGCAGGGGAGAUUUGCGUUUUUGGCAAAGAGGAGGGAAGGAACUAACAUGAUGGCUUAGAUCAGUUACUGAUGAACUAACAUGAUGUAUGGAUGCAGAUUAUUAAUGCUGCUGUUUUUGGCUUUUUGCAGUGAACAGUCGAUGCAGGGUAGAACUGCUUAAUGAUACACACGAGUCUGAUUUUCAGGUGGCCAAAUACACACGAGUCUAAACAAGACAUGGGUCUGCUUUCCUCUUAAGCAGAUAUGAUCAUCAAGCUGUUUCCAGCGACAGCAGUGGAGCCUGGGGAGAGGAGAUGAACCUGUGUCUGGGGUGAGGACAGCCUGGGAUGAGGAGAGCCUGGGCAGCAGCCGAGCCCAGCUCCAGCCUCCAGCUCACCUCAACCUGGGCGGACUUGGAGAGGAGGAGUCCCUGGAGAUUGAGAUGAGUCCCUGGGCGUGGAGAGGAGGAGCGCCUGGGCGCCUGCGUUGGUCUGGAUGGAGGUGGAGCUGUGGCGCCUGGAGCUCUGGGGUGGAGCGUUGGCGAGGGAGCUCUGGACCGCGGCGAGGGAGCUUCCGAUCACGGCGGGGAAGGGCGACCAAAGAGGGGAUCUGGCUCUCGAUUGGAGCGGCGCAGACAGACGGCGGGGAAGGACGCCGGAGAUGCGGACGACGGAGGAGCCUGGCGAAGGGGAGGAGGGACGGAGUCCUCCUCCGCCUAGCGAAGGGGAGGAGCGAAGGAGUCCUGGCGGAGGGAAGGAGCGACGGAGAAAGACGACGACCUGAGCGCGAUUUCAAAUCGGGGGCAGUUUUGUAAUUUCACUACUUUUCACCUGGUCGGAAAAGACCCCCCAGCGACAAUUAUUUCGGAACGGAGGGAGUAACAAAUAUUGCAUCAAGACUUACAGACCAACAAACGAUCACUAUCGCUACUAGAACGAACUAUCGACUCAUGGCUGUCGCGCUCACCUAUUAGAGCCAACCUAGCCUUGUCGAUAACAACCGAGAGGUCUUUGUGCACUUACCAUAAGGAGCCUCCUAGAGCCGCACUUGUGGCCAUUGAACCUUUGAAUCGAUAUGAAGUUCCCAGUA